ACGCUGGCGGCAGGCCUAACACAUGCAAGUCGAGCGGUAGAGAGAAGCUUGCUUCUCUUGAGAGCGGCGGACGGGUGAGUAAUGCCUAGGAAUCUGCCUGGUAGUGGGGGAUAACGUUCGGAAACGGACGCUAAUACCGCAUACGUCCUACGGGAGAAAGCAGGGGACCUUCGGGCCUUGCGCUAUCAGAUGAGCCUAGGUCGGAUUAGCUAGUUGGUGGGGUAAUGGCUCACCAAGGCGACGAUCCGUAACUGGUCUGAGAGGAUGAUCAGUCACACUGGAACUGAGACACGGUCCAGACUCCUACGGGAGGCAGCAGUGGGGAAUAUUGGACAAUGGGCGAAAGCCUGAUCCAGCCAUGCCGCGUGUGUGAAGAAGGUCUUCGGAUUGUAAAGCACUUUAAGUUGGGAGGAAGGGUUGUAGAUUGAUACUCUGCAAUUUUGACGUUACCGACAGAAUAAGCACCGGCUAACUCUGUGCCAGCAGCCGCGGUAAUACAGAGGGUGCAAGCGUUAAUCGGAAUUACUGGGCGUAAAGCGCGCGUAGGUGGUUAGUUAAGUUGGAUGUGAAAUCCCCGGGCUCAACCUGGGAACUGCAUUCAAAACUGACUGACUAGAGUAUGGUAGAGGGUGGUGGAAUUUCCUGUGUAGCGGUGAAAUGCGUAGAUAUAGGAAGGAACACCAGUGGCGAAGGCGACCACCUGGACUGAUACUGACACUGAGGUGCGAAAGCGUGGGGAGCAAAC
rnacentral:rRNA from 1 species